rnacentral:rRNA from 1 species
CAGCCGCCACGGUAAUACAGAGGGUGCGAGCGUUAAUCGGAUUUACUGGGCGUAAAGCGUGCGUAGGCGGCUAAUUGAGUCGGAUGUGAAAUCCCCGAGCUUAACUUGGGAAUUGCAUUCGAUACUGGUUAGCUAGAGUGUGGGAGAGGAUGGUAGAAUUCCAGGUGUAGCGGUGAAAUGCGUAGAGAUCUGGAGGAAUACCGAUGGCGAAGGCAGCCAUCUGGCCUAACACUGACGCUGAGGUACGAAAGCAUGGGGAGCAAACAGGAUUAGAUACCCGCGUAGUCCCUGUCUCUUAUAC